rnacentral:sRNA from 1 species
GUGGGUGGAAACGCACUGGCUGACUGGGGUCGGCGUUCAGUUCGGCGCCGCGACUCGGGGACCUGGAGCUGACGCCUAGACACUUGUAUUAGCUUUAAUAGAAGAGAAAUGGAGGAGCCAUAGAAUAUUAAGGAUGAAUUCAGGAAGGCCUGAGACCAUGGAAAACUUGCCUGCUCUCUACACUAUUUUCCAAGGAGAGUUAUGGUGAAGCUGAAACAGUGCUCAAGAUGAAGCAGCCAAUUAAAGACACUGAAAAGAAUAAAGUUUAUGUUGCUAUGGUGACAGACUAUGGGGCCUUUAUCAAAAUCCCAGGCUGUCGGAAGCAAGGUCUGGUCCAUCGAACUCAUAUGUCAUCCUGUCGGGUGGAUAAGCCCUCUGAGAUAGUAGAUGUCGGAGAUAAAGUGUGGGUGAAGCUUAUUGGCCGAGAGAUGAAAAAUGAUAGGAUAAAAGUAUCCCUCUCCAUGAAAGUUGUCAAUCAAGGGACUGGGAAAGACCUUGAUCCCAACAACGUUAUCAUUGAGCAAGAAGAGAGGCGGAGGCGAUCCUUCCAGGAUUACACUGGGCAGAAGAUCACCCUUGAGGCUGUCUUGAACACAACCUGCAAGAAGUGUGGCUGUAAAGGCCACUUUGCAAAAGAUUGUUUCAUGCAACCAGGUGGGACCAAAUACUCUCUGAUACCUGAUGAGGAAGAGGAAAAGGAAGAGGCAAAGUCAGCAGAGUUUGAGAAGCCUGACCCUACAAGGAAUCCUUCUAGAAAAAGA